rnacentral:rRNA from 1 species
CCUACGGGGCGCACCAGUAGGGAAUCUUCGGCAAUGUACGAAAGUCUGACCGAGCAACGCCGCGUGAGUGAAGAAGGUUUUCGGAUUGUAAAACUCUGUUGUUAGAGAAGAACAAGUAGGAGAGUAACUGCUCUUACCUUGACGGUAUCUAACCAGAAAGCCACGGCUAACUACGUGCCAGCAGCCGCGGUAAUACGUAGGUGGCAAGCGUUGUCCGGAUUUAUUGGGCGUAAAGCGAGCGCAGGCGGUCUUUUAAGUCUGAUGUGAAAGCCCUCGGCUCAACCGAGGAAGGUCAUUGGAAACUGGAGGACUUGAGUGCAGAAGAGGAGAGUGGAAUUCCAUGUGUAGAGGUGAAAUGCGUAGAUAUAUGGAGGAACACCAGUGGCCAAGGCGACUCUCUGGUCUGUAACUGACGCUGAGGCUCGAAAGCGUGGGGAGCAAACAGGAUUAGAUACCCCAGUAGUC